GAAAUGCGAUACGUAGUGUGAAUUGCAGAAUUCAGUGAAUCAUCGAAACCUUGAACGCAUCUUGCGCUUGUGGUCACCCACAAGCAUGCCUGUUUGAGUGUCGUUAUUCAUUCUCAUUCCACAAACUUAAAACCUUUGCGGAAGUGGACAUUGGGCAUCUAUCGAAUUCCUUCGAUAGUUGCUUUAAAGUGAGAGGGGACUUGGUAAAAUAGACGGAAACAAUUUGUUUCAAUGUUCUUGCAGUCCAAAGGAUGUGCUUUAACAUGCAUUUUUUUGUGUGACUUCACAUUCGGCGGUGCUGCCUUUGUCCGAAAGGAAAGAGCGGAGAGCAGUGGUUUUGACUAUUUUUUAUGCCCUUUUUUUUUAAAAAUAAAUCUUUCAACUUUGCGACCUCAAAUCA
rnacentral:misc_RNA from 1 species